AACCACAAUGUCGGUGAUUAUAGAAACAUCAAAUAAUAUUCCUAGCUACUUUUGAAAUAUAUCUUAGGAUAUGGUAUCCGAAAGUAAGCAGAUGCUAGAUUUGAUAUCGAGUUUCAACAACUGAUUUCCAAAUCACAUUCUCAAAAGUGAAGAUGAGUAUAUUUUCUACAUAUCAAUAUCAAAGAUUUUUCACCCUUCUUCUUCCUAGCAGGUCAAUGAAUUAUUCACUUCAUCAUGCAGCAAUGAAAUUCAUAAGAAGAGAUCGACUAAAUGGUUUCGAUGGCAAACAAUAGAAAAUUUCAAAUAUCUCAAUCUAAAAGGAAUAUAACUGGUUUCAUUCACUUCCUGCACUUCCUAUAAUAGAGUUAUUGAAAAUAGUCGUCAACAAAUCUCCAAAUUACAACACUGAACAGUGCUUUUGACAUAGGAAGUAACUUCUGACAAAGUGGCAAAUAUGUAUUUAUUGAGCGAAACAUUGAACACAGAUCAACUAAUUGCUCAUAAAACGUAUAAAUGUUUACAUAUUCUCUUGUGAAAUAAAAAACAAAAAAAAACAG